ACGCUCGACACCUACGGAAGGCAGCAGUGGGGGAUAUUGCACAAUGGGGGAAACCCUGAUGCAGCAACGCCGCGUGAAGGAAGAAGGUCUUCGGAUUGUAAACUUCUGUCCUCAGGGAAGAUAAUGACGGUACCUGAGGAGGAAGCUCCGGCUAACUACGUGCCAGCAGCCGCGGUAAUCUGAGCGGGCUGGCAAGGC
rnacentral:rRNA from 1 species